UGUGACGGCUGCUUUGUCCUCGCUGGUGGCAGGGGGUGACAUUCCUCGGCACAGCAGGACCCGCCGUGGGAGACAAUCCCCCUACCGCAGGGAUUUGGAAACCCUCGGAUCACACUUGAGGUGCGAACGCUGCUGCUGCCCCCGCCAAGCCCCAGCAAACUCCUGCUCGCACCGGGUUUGGCUGCCUGGGCGGGAACAGCCGUCUGCCGGCACGGCCCGCCCUCGCGCAGCCGCGGCGGCGUAAAUCACGGCUUGACCCCGGGUUUGCACCGGCUGCCGGCCCUCUGCGAAGGGUUGGCUUUGUCAUCUCCUCCGGUGACACCCGCCGCUGAUUUACGGCCGGGUUGGGAGCAGGGCUGUGACACAUCAGACACCUCCUCGCCCUCCGCUCCCUCCCCGGGCAUCACCCCAGCGCGGGGGCUGCGGGGCUGGAUGCGGCCGUGCAGCAAAACGUGUUCACCGCGUCCCCGCCGCCCUCUCCUGCGCACGGGGCAGGAGCUGCACUCGGCCGUGACCCGGCCCUGACCGCGGCGAGGAGGGCCAGGGGUAGGAGAGCCCAGCCCCGGGUUUAAAUCAACGCCCUCCACUUCCCUUCCAUGCUGAGUUAUUGCACCCUGGUUUUGUGAUGGAGAUGACCAGGCGGUGAGGGAUGAGUGACCUGGGCCAGACCACCGGGCUCGGCGCUCCCAGUUGGAUCCUGGACAAGAGGUGAAAGAUCAGGGCUCUCCUCCAGCCCCUUCCCGGCCCCCCCCCCAACCUGCGUGGGUGCUCCUGAGCAUGAUUUAGGCCGGGGGGGGGGGUUCACCAGGAGAGCGGGCCAUGUUCUGCUGCCAGAGGAGCUGCUCUCAGCAGCGCAUCCCUGCAGCGAAGCAGCCGGCUCUGGUGGUCUGGGCAGGGCUGUCCUUCCCCCCGCAACCAUUUCCACGUGUCAGGUGGGUUUUUUAUCCCAGAGCUGUGCUUCCCUCCCUCCCUCUGUCCAGAAGAUCCUUAAGGAACAGUGUCCCAGGCAGUGAGGCUCAGGUAUGUACGAUGAAGCCUGGGAGGAUGCCAUCACAUCUGGGAGGAUGCUGUGCGAUCUGGGAGGAUGCUGUGAUGCCUGGGAGGAUACCGUCACAUCUGGGAGGAUGCUGUGAGAUCUGGGAGGAUACUAUGAUGCCUGGGAGGAUGCUAUGACAUCUGGGAGGAUGCUAUGACAUCUAUGUACAAACUUCUGAAAAAAAAAUAAAAGACAAGAAUAAUAAUAAUAAA